CCAAGCUCUGGCCUUGGGUCUGCACACAAGGUGCUCUGGGAUGCUCAGCUGUUUGUGGACCCUCAGACCUGCAUCAGCCACACUGGAGCACAGCCGAACAGGCUGUCUCCUACGGUCCUGGCGUGGUGCUCUGAGGCAACUCAGCUGCAUGGCUGCUCAUACCACUGACUGUAUACUCUGCAAUGGUGGACCAAAGAAAGCUCUCCUUUCUGAAGCUGCUUCUGUCAGUGAUGUGCAAGUUGUCAUUUGAGAGGUGGAGCGGUGGCGCGGCCUACCGACCCUCUGAUGCUGCGGAGUUUGGACGAGCCUCUUAGCAUGUGCCAGAACCAAAGAGUCUUGUAGAAGAGCACAAGGUCACCUUCAGUUACCUACCAAGUUGGAGGCUAACCUGGGCUACAGGAGACCUGGUUUUAACCUCCCCCCUCUCCACCACUCCCCUUUCUGUCUCUGUCUCUAUCUCUGUCUCUCUCUCCUCUCUGUCUCUGUUUCACCACCCGCCCCCCUUCCAGGAAAAGACUCAGAUUCAGAGAAUUUCUGACUCAGGAACAACCAAGACCAUUGGCUGAAGGCAAGAGGCUGGGGCAGCAGUCACAAACAGUCAUUUCACAAACACUGUGUCAGAUGCUGAACUGGACGUUGUAGAUAGAACAUUUGGCCAAGCUGGACACAUUUCAGACAUGGCAGGUCAUGAAAGCAUCCCUAACACUUGGACCUCAUUCUCUGUUUUGUCACCAAUGAGUCCACAGUGAAAGGCUGGACCAUGGGAAGGCAAGUGAGGAUGAUUUGGAAUGGACAGCCUGGGACGCUCCUCAGCCAAUAGCCAGGAUCCUGCUCACUCCACCCCUGGCAGAGGGGAAGGGAGAUGCAAAGGGCAAGGGGAGAGGCUUGACAGGCCUCACUAGAGCUUGGACUAUGAGAAGGGGCACCUGGUGGCCACGUGUCACCAAGCUUUUCACUGGAGCCUGGCACUGUUAGCAGCCCCUUGUAUCCAGCCCAAUUCAUGUGUAUAAAAUUCCUCCAUUUCUCCUCCUCCCCUCUUCACCAUGACAUAGAAUCUCAUGCAGCCUAGGACCCAUUGGCGGAAGGAAAGACUCAUUACCACAAAUUGUCCUGUGACUUCCAGAUAAAUGUGUCACAUUUGUUCACACACACAAUAAACCUUAAAAAAAAAAGCUCUUUCAGGGUUCCCUUCUGGGGAUUGUGCCAUUACACAACACGUCUACUGAAGGACUUGUAGACCUUUUUCAGCCUUUGACUUUAAUGUCAUCACUCACAUGUGUCCGUCUUUGGGCUAAAUUCCUGGAAGUGGUUGGUUAAAGGGUGAGUUUGCAGUUUGCUAUUGUGUCAGCACUUACCAGGGUGUAGUUUAUGAGAGUUUCCAAAUGUCUCGGGGGCUCUUUCCUCAAAGCCUUACAAACAGCACACACUCACAUUUAAAAACAUAUGUUAUCUAAGUAAACUUAAAAAGAAAACCAAACAUUACCUUUCUUCAAACCACAUGCAAUGUAGCCACAGACCUUCCACUCCCAUCUGGCACUAAUGAGACACCCUGUCCCCUCCGCCCCCCCACAGUUCUUGCCUUGUUCCCUUUCCACUAUGAAAGGAUAAAAGAGCCACUCACUAAGAGAUCACAGCACUCUUAAACAUGUACAUGCAAAAGAACAGACCCGUAAGAUAUACGAAGCAAAGGAUGAUGGAUCGGGAAGGACAAAUUGAAGAUUUCAAUAGCCCUUUCAUCAUCUGGAAGAAUGACUUAGCAGAGACUCAUCAAAGGUGCACACUUCAGCAUCGCCGGGACCCAGCAGCACCUGACAUCUAGCGUGUUCACUAAACAACAGCAGGAUACACAUUUGUUUCAGGUGCUUGAAAACCGUGCACCAAGAUUGACCCCAUCCUGGGUUGUCUUCCUUUGUUUCUCAUUGUGAUAGAAAAAAAAAAUGCUUACCAAAGAAAGUUAAGAGUUCAUGUUAGGGGCUAGAGAGAUGGCUCAGAGGUUAAGGACACUGGCUGUCCUUUCUAGAGGUCCUGAGUUCAAUUUCCAGCAACCACAUGGUGGCUCACAACCAUAUAUAGAGAGAUCUGGUGUGCAGGCAGAAUGCUGUAUAAAUAAUAAAUAAAUCUUUUUUUAAAAAGUUCAUCUUAGCUCCCAGUUGAGGGUACAGUGCCUCAUGGGGGCAGCAGGAGCAUGUAGCAGCUGGUCACAUGACAUUUACCGCAAGAAGAGACCAAGGGAUGCAUGCAUGCUACCAUUCACCUCCCCUUCCCCAUCUUCUACAGUUCCAGGGUCUCCUCACAGCCACACCAAACCAGCGUAACCCAGAUAAUCCCUCACAGGUAUGCCCGGAGCCCCAUCUCCCAGGUGGUCAGAGUUUUCAAGUUAAAAAUCAACACUGACCAUUAUGUGGGUCAAAAUUCAAAUCUCAACAAACUGAAGAGAAUUAAAAUGAUGUGUUCUUUAGUCACAAUGGAAUCAAACUAGAAAUUAAUGACAAAACAAUAAUAGGAAGAUGUCUGAACCUUUCAAAACUAAACAACACAUACCUGAAUAGUUCCACAGGUCAAAAAAGAAGCCUCAAAGAAUGUAGUUGUUUUGGUGUGCAUUCACGCGGUGUGUGUGUGUGUGUGUGUGUGUGUGUGUGUGUGUAGAGACUGAUCAAUUUUGUUUUAUGGUUUUGUAACCAGAACACUAGAGUUUGUGAUGCUUGUCACCAUAGAGGCCAACAAGCAUAGAUGGGCAUUGAAUCUUUAUGUUGUGUUUUAUUUAGACAGCCAGCGAUCUGAGAUGGCAACGGGUUAUCAAGGAUGUGGCAGGGGAGUGGGAAAGAGGAUAGAGUAGGGAGAGGGGGACUGUCCUAGUUUGCUUUGUGUUGCUAUGAUAAACACCAUGUCUAAAGGCAAGUUGGGGAGGAAAGAGUUUAUUUCAGCUUAAACUUCCAGGCCACAGUGCACCACUGAGGGAGGUUGGGCAGGAACUCAAGGCGGGAACCUAGAAGCAGGGGCUGAAGCUGCAGCCGUGGGUAACUGCUGCGUCCAGGCUGGCUCCUCAUGGCUCGCUGCUGUCUUAUACUCUGAGAACAACUACUCAGGGUGGUGCCACUCAAAGUGAGUUGGUCCUCUCACGCCAAUCAUUAUUAAAGAAAAUGCCCCACCGGCCUGCCACAGGCAAUAUGGACGAAGGCGUCUUCUCGGUUGAGGUCCCUCUUCUAGCUUAUGUCAAGUUGACCAAAAUAAGCAAAUAAAUAAAUAGACAAACCCAACCACGUAUGGGCUAUUUCCCUAUGAAUUACUGGCCAAGAGGCUCCAGAGGCCCCUGAAAGAACACAGAGUAUUGCCGCUGGUGUCCGGUGUCCACCAGAAUCAGACAGUUCUUAGUUACUGCUCUAUUGCUGUAAAGAGAUACUGUAACCAAAGCAACUCUUCUAAAAAUUGUUUUAAUAAAUACAUUGUUUUCUUCCUACAUUCCUAUCAGUUUCCCCUCCCUUCUCUCUUCCCAGUCCCUCCCCCCUCCAACAAAACAAAACAAAACAAAAAGACAGUGGAAUGGGGACUUGUUGAGAAGGGCGUGGGUGGGUGGGUGAGCAAGGAAAGGAGGGCAGAGGGCAGAGAGUGACACAUUGCAACUUGUAAUAUUUCUUUCUUUUUGAGACAGGGCCUCAUUCUGUAGCCCAGGCUGGCCUGGAACUACCUAGGUGUAGACCAGACUAGCUUCGAACUUGUGGCAAUCCUACUGGUUCUGUCUCCCGAGUGUUGGGA